AGGCUACACAUGCAAGUCGAGCGGUAGCACAGAGAGCUUGCUCUCGGGUGACGAGCGGCGGACGGGUGAGUAAUGUCUGGGAAACUGCCUGAUGGAGGGGGAUAACUACUGGAAACGGUAGCUAAUACCGCAUAACGUCGCAAGACCAAAGUGGGGGACCUUCGGGCCUCAUGCCAUCAGAUGUGCCCAGAUGGGAUUAGCUAGUAGGUGGGGUAACGGCUCACCUAGGCGACGAUCCCUAGCUGGUCUGAGAGGAUGACCAGCCACACUGGAACUGAGACACGGUCCAGACUCCUACGGGAGGCAGCAGUGGGGAAUAUUGCACAAUGGGCGCAAGCCUGAUGCAGCCAUGCCGCGUGUGUGAAGAAGGCCUUCGGGUUGUAAAGCACUUUCAGCGGGGAGGAAGGCGAUAAGGUUAAUAACCUUGUCGAUUGACGUUACCCGCAGAAGAAGCACCGGCUAACUCCGUGCCAGCAGCCGCGGUAAUACGGAGGGUGCAAGCGUUAAUCGGAAUUACUGGGCGUAAAGCGCACGCAGGCGGUCUGUCAAGUCGGAUGUGAAAUCCCCGGGCUCAACCUGGGAACUGCAUUCGAAACUGGCAGGCUAGAGUCUUGUAGAGGGGGGUAGAAUUCCAGGUGUAGCGGUGAAAUGCGUAGAGAUCUGGAGGAAUACCGGUGGCGAAGGCGGCCCCCUGGACAAAGACUGACGCUCAGGUGCGAAAGCGUGGGGAGCAAACAGGAUUAGAUACCCUGGUAGUCCACGCCGUAAACGAUGUCGAUUUGGAGGUUGUGCCCUUGAGGCGUGGCUUCCGGAGCUAACGCGUUAAAUCGACCGCCUGGGGAGUACGGCCGCAAGGUUAAAACUCAAAUGAAUUGACGGGGGCCCGCACAAGCGGUGGAGCAUGUGGUUUAAUUCGAUGCAACGCGAAGAACCUUACCUGGUCUUGACAUCCACAGAACUUAGCAGAGAUGCUUUGGUGCCUUCGGGAACUGUGAGACAGGUGCUGCAUGGCUGUCGUCAGCUCGUGUUGUGAAAUGUUGGGUUAAGUCCCGCAACGAGCGCAACCCUUAUCCUUUGUUGCCAGCGGUUAGGCCGGGAACUCAAAGGAGACUGCCAGUGAUAAACUGGAGGAAGGUGGGGAUGACGUCAAGUCAUCAUGGCCCUUACGACCAGGGCUACACACGUGCUACAAUGGCAUAUACAAAGAGAAGCGACCUCGCGAGAGCAAGCGGACCUCAUAAAGUAUGUCGUAGUCCGGAUUGGAGUCUGCAACUCGACUCCAUGAAGUCGGAAUCGCUAGUAAUCGUAGAUCAGAAUGCUACGGUGAAUACGUUCCCGGGCCUUGUACACACCGCCCGUCACACCAUGGGAGUGGGUUGCAAAAGAAGUAGGUAGCUUAACCUCGGAGGCGCUUACCACUUGGAU
rnacentral:rRNA from 1 species